rnacentral:tRNA from 3 species
GCCGAGGUAGCUCAGUUGGUAGAGCAGAGGACUGAAAAUCCUCGUGUCGGCGGUUCGAUUCCGCCCCUCGGCACCA